ACAUAACCCAAAUGUCACCAAGGUUUUGCAUUGAAAAUCAAAGUUGUGUAAACUGUUGUGCAAAUGAGACACAGGUUAGAGAAGCGACCACGUCGCGGGGCUGGAAACUGGAAGUAUCCCGAGCUAAUUCUGCUACCACCAUCAUCUAUUGCAACAAGUGAUGGCUCCCACUGAUUGUCCCCGGAAGCUUGAUCGUUUUCAGGCGGAUGGUAACAGCGAUGUGAACAUUUGAAACAGGGAAGAUGGACACGAAAGAAGAAGACUGUAUAACAUGCAAAACUAAGCUUUUCGUUGUGUAAUAAUAAAUUAACACCAAUGCCAAUGUGUUUCAGACCCUCAUUUGCACGCCAUGUUGGUCGAAUUCAAAGUG